UCUCUGGAGGACUAGUGGUUUGGCCUCAGUGCUCUCAUUGCUGAUGCCCAGGUUCAAUUCCUGGCCAGGGAA